CAGUUGUGGAAGACAUCGCUCUGGUGGAAUGAGCUGUGAUAGUUUCAGGUAAGUCUUUGUCAUAUAAUGUAUAACAUGUUCGAAUACAGGAGAUGAUCCAUUUCAAAAUCCUCCGAGAUGAAACUGCUUGUCCUUUGGAUCAUUCAGUGUAGGACAAGAACAGCCUAGGGGAGACUCGCCAGGGUAUGGUUCGGUCCACAUAAAAUGCCAGUGCUCUACGGACAUCGAGAGUGUGCCAUGCGGCCUGAACUGGAUCGGCAUGUGGUUUAGGAAAAAAGGCAGGUAUUUUCAGCAUCCUGGAGUCAGGCAUGGAGAUGAAGCUUGUAGAGUUCUGGAUGGAGAGUCCUCCCAUAAUUCUGUGACAGGAGGUCAUGAUGGAGUGGCAAGGGAUACAGGUCUAUCAUUGCCAUCUUGUGAAGGUGGGUGGGUUGCGGAGGACUGUUGUUGGUGUUGUCGUUGGGGUCUGCGACAUUGGAGUCUUUGUUUCUGAUGGAAGUCAUAUCUGGUCUGUUGUCCGAAGGGCUCCCUGGGCCUCUGAAGUCAAAGAGAAAAGAGAGGCUCCAUCUGCUGCCGAGGACGGUAGAGAAGGAACUGAGGAGCCGCGCCAUGCACGCACCUAACGGAUUCCAAUGACACAAGGGGGUGCUGCGGAGUGUGCACGGCACAGAAGAAACUGCUAGAAAAGUCUCCGGUCACCAACACAAGGACACACCAGCACCCAGAAUGGUGCACCCACAGGGACCACUCAAAGGAGAAAGGAUUUUCUCCUGCAAAGAUCUCAUGUGCCAUUCCUCAAAAGCAGUUAUGUCUGGGUCUCUCCAGUGCUCAAGUUCCCAGGUUUUUAAUGUUUAUCUGGCAUGUCUUGAAGUUGGCCCUCCAGGUAUCUUUAUACAUGAAAGAUGGUCAACCUCAAAAGGGGAUUUCCAUGUUCACUUGGCAGUUGACCACCACUUUCAAUAUACAGGACCACAUGUUCAACCCUAUGAGCAUGCUCUCAGUGCCAAGAAUUUGGCAUCUCUCCAGAACAUCAGUGUUGGGGAGCCUGUCCUGCUACUUGAUGUUGCAGAUAGAUCUUAGGCAGUAAAGAUGCAAGUUCUCCAUAUAGGAGCAAGGUGAAUAUAGCAGUGUGAUAGAUUUUUAUCUUGGUUCUGAGGCAGACCACACAUCCUUCAGAGCCUGUGAGUGUGCCUGCUGAAUGCUAAGCUGGCCUCUGCCAGGCAACAAAGCAUUAUAAGUAUGCACAUCAUCCAUUCUUUGAAAGGUGCCACUCCUGUUCUGGAAUCAUGUUUGUGACUAAUGUCUCCAGACUCUGCAGUUACAUAGUCCAGCAGGUGCCCCUGCUUUGACCUGGGAUGCAUGCAUGUUUUCUUCUGUGCGCUGGGCUGUUGGAAGACUGUAUUGUACUGUAUAAUGUAGGUUGUUAAGCUUUAGCUCAUUUUAAACCAUUAUAAACGAGGUGAACAAAUUCACUCUCACUUCAAGGACUGACCUGUAUUCCUUACUGUGACUUGCCUCAUUCAGUGGAUCAAUUCAAGCUAACUAGAGAAUAGGUCUCUCUUUUUCUUAUAAUCUCCACCCAAAUGACUCACCAGGCACAUCUGGCCUUUUGAAGGAGUCCCUCUUUCUCUCUCUCUGUCUGGCAGGAUCCUGCAACAUUGCUAUGCCUUUUGUCUAGAAAAUGGGAGUGAUUUUCUCUUUAAGAAAGGCACAGAUCUCUACCACCACUAUCAACAUUAGUUACUUGUGCCAUGCUGUGGAACUAGACACUGUUUUUGGG